GAUGAAGAACGUAGCGAAAUGCGAUAAGUAAUGUGAAUUGCAGAAUUCAGUGGAUCAUCGAAUCUUUGAACGCACAUUGCGCCCGCCAGUAUUCUGGCGGGCAUGCCUGUUCGAGCGUCAUUUCAACCAUCAAGCCCCAGGCUUGUGUUGGGGACCUGCGGCUGCCGCAGGCCCUGAAAACCAGUGGCGGGCUCGCUGUCACACCGGGCGUAGUAGAUUUUAUCUCGCUCAGGGCGUGCUGCGGGUUCCGGCCGUUAAAAAGCCUUUUUUACCCAAGGUUGACCUCGGAUCAGGUAGGAAGACCCGCUGAACUUAAGCAUAUCAAUAAGCGGAGGA
rnacentral:misc_RNA from 1 species